CUGAAGCACAAAGUAAAUUCCAGGAAAUGUAUAUUGAACACACCCAAGUUUUAUUUUUAUGUUUGCCGUGAAAAACACUGAUAGAGCGCAAACAAUUACUGCAUGACAGCAAUUCAUAAACCGUGCUAAAUAUUUAUAACCCGGCACUUACAAUAGGGAGGAGGGCCAAAUGGAAAAGGAAGAAGGAAGAGACGGAGAAUGAACUGGAAUCCACAACCACUAACUGUUACUGUUGAUGGGUGCAGCUGUAAGGUUUCUUAUCUGAAGGCCGCUCAAAGCAAGCUGAUGAACACGUGAGCAUAUCCAAGGCUGCUAAACACCAGCACAAACUGUAGAACCUGUUGUCGAUGAGGAGAACUAAGGAGGGCUGUGAACCCAACAGGAACAGAAGAAAUCCGAGAAGGCCAGUCAAGGCUAAAGUUACCAAAGAUCCGGUUUGACUGCCCUUAUUACAAAGCAAGAAGGAGCCUGGAGGCAAGCCGGGGCAGUGAAAUAGUCACGUGGUGACAUUCCAUGAGGCCCCAAGGACUGGAAGUUAGGACCUUGAUGGUGGCAGCCACGAGCAGAAUCAGUUCAGUGCCAAGGAAACUACAGAAUAUGAGCGGGUAGAGUGACAAUUCCCACUCAAAUCUCCAUU